CAUCCCAUCUCUUCUCUGCAGAAACCCACGCCUCCGCCACCAACUCUUCCUGCCGCUUCUCCAACCACCACCAAAGCCAUAAAAUCCAUCAACUACUAUAACCCAUCACUACCACCAUCAUUACCUAUUUCCUCAACCAUUUCAGCAACCUAAUUCACUAAUUUUUCACGCCUCUUCUCAGAAACCCUAGGCGUGUGAUAUUAGUAAAUUAGGUUGAGAAAUAGCACGCAAUUGGAGCAGCAGUUGGACGACAAGAAGCAAUAGAAGCAUGGGUGAAGAUGAUUGAGUGUUUUCAGAGAUUAGACCAUGACUUGUUGCUGCUGUGGGCUGUGAGCUAGCUUACUGCCACUGAAGAGGUGAUCAUGCUGCUGUUGGAGUUGAAAGAUUGAACAAGGCCCAACUGGGCCGUGCAACAAAAGAAAAGGGGAUAAAAGCCCAACUAGGCUUCCCUCCAAAAACAAGUAAGCCUGAACCCAAGCCCAACUGGGCCUUCUUUAUUGUCUGUUGGGUUUUUUUUUUCUGGGCUUGUAAUAUAAUUUUAAACCCAACAGUGGGCUUGUGUUUUUGGACUUUUGGGCUUGUAAUUUUAAUUGGACUGUGGGCUUAUAACUUUGAACAUUAACUGGGCCUUGUACUCAAAACAGCAACUUUGUAACUUUGAGAACAGUGGGCUUAAAAUCUUUGAAAAUC